rnacentral:rRNA from 1 species
UGGGGAAUUUUGGACAAUGGGCGAAAGCCUGAUCCAGCAAUGCCGCGUGUGUGAAGAAGGCCUUCGGGUUGUAAAGCACUUUUGUCCGGAAAGAAAUCCUUGGCUCUAAUACAGUCGGGGGAUGACGGUACCGGAAGAAUAAGCACCGGCUAACUACGUGCCAGCAGCCGCGGUAAUACGUAGGGUGCAAGCGUUAAUCGGAAUUACUGGGCGUAAAGCGUGCGCAGGCGGUUUGCUAAGACCGAUGUGAAAUCCCCGGGCUCAACCUGGGAACUGCAUUGGUGACUGGCAGGCUAGAGUAUGGCAGAGGGGGGUAGAAUUCCACGUGUAGCAGUGAAAUGCGUAGAGAUGUGGAGGAAUACCGAUGGCGAAGGCAGCCCCCUGGGCCAAUACUGACGCUCAUGCACGAAAGCGUGGGGAGCAAACAGGAUUAGAUACCCUGGUAGUCCACGCCCUAAAACGAUGUCAACUAGUUGUUGGGGAUUCAUUUCCUUAGUAACGUAGCUAACGCGUGAAGUUGAUCCGCCUGGGGAGUACGGUCGCAAGAUUAAAACUUAAAUGAAUUGACGGGGUCAUAGCUGUUUCCU